GUUGAAACACCUGUUCCCUUACAAUCACUGAAAUUUAGUAACAUUGAGCCUGAUUAGUACCUAGAUGGGUAUUCACUUGGGAAUACCAAGUGCUGCAA